rnacentral:rRNA from 1 species
GACGUAGGGCGCGAGCGUUGUCCGGAUUUAUUGGGCUUAAAGAGCUCGUAGGCGGCUUGUCGCGUCGAAUGUGAAAUCUCAGGGCUCAACUCUGACAUUGCAUUCGAUACGGGCAGGCUAGAGUUCGGUAGGGGAGACUGGAAUUCCUGGUGUAGCGGUGAAAUGCGCAGAUAUCAGGAGGAACACCGGUGGCGAAGGCGGGUCUCUGGGCCGAUACUGACGCUGAGGAGCGAAAGCGUGGGGAGCGAACAGG